GAUGAAGAACGUAGCGAAAUGCGAUACUUGGUGUGAAUUGCAGAAUCCCGCGAAUCAUCGAGUUUUUGAACGCAAGUUGCGCCCGAAGCCAUUCGGCCGAGGGCACGUCUGCCUGGGUGUCACGCAUCGUUGCCCCCCCAAACUCCGGUUCGGGCGGGGCGGAAGUUGGCCUCCCGUGCGUGCCUGCGCGCGCGGUUAGCCCUAAAGCGAGUCCUCGGCGACGAGCGCCACUACAAUCGGUGGUUUUUUUACCCUCGUUCCUCGUCGUGCGUGUCCCGUCGCCCGAACGCGCUCUUGCGACCCUCACGCGUCGCCUCGGCGGCGCUCCCAACGCGACCCCAGGUCAGGCGGGACUACCCGCUGAGUUUAAGCAUAUCAAUAAGCGGAGGA
rnacentral:misc_RNA from 1 species